UACAGAGGGUGCAAGCGUUAAUCGGAAUUACUGGGCGUAAAGCGCACGUAGGCGGCUUGGUAUGUCGGGUGUGAAAUCCCCGGGCUCAACCUGGGAACUGCAUCCGAAACUGCCUUGCUGGAGUAUGGGAGAGGGAAGCGGAAUUUCCGGUGUAGCGGUGAAAUGCGUAGAUAUCGGAAGGAACAUCAGUGGCGAAGGCGGCUUCCUGGCCCAAUACUGACGCUCAGGUGCGAAAGCGUGGGGAGCAAACAGG
rnacentral:rRNA from 1 species